GGACUACAGGGGUAUCUAAUCCUGUUUGCUCCCCAUGCUUUCGUGCCUCAGUGUCAGUCUUUGUCCAGAAAGUCGCCUUCGCCACCGAUGUUCCUUCCGAUAUCUACGCAUUUCACCGCUACACCGGAAAUUCCACUUUCCUCUACAAGACUCUAGCUACGCAGUAUCAGGCGCAAUCCCCAGGUUAAGCCCAGGACUUUCACACCUAACUUACGUAACCACCUACGCACCCUUUACGCCCAGUAAUUCCGAUUAACGCUCGCACCCUCUGUAUUACCGCGGCUGCUGGCAC
rnacentral:rRNA from 1 species